CCAAUACUGACGCUCAUGCACGAAAGCGUGGGUAGCAAACAGGAUUAGAUACCCUGGUAGUCCACGCCCUAAACGAUGUCAACUAGGUGUUGGGUGGGUAAAACCAUUUAGUACCGGAGCUAACGCGUGAAGUUGACCGCCUGGGGGAGUACGGCCGCAAGGUUAAAACUCAAAGGAAUUGACGGGGACCCGCACAAGCGGUGGAUGAUGUGGAUUAAUUCGAUGCAACGCGAAAAACCUUACCUACCCUUGACAUGUCCAGAAGCUCUUAGAGAUUUGAGUGUGCCCGAAAGGGAACUGGAACACAGGUGCUGCAUGGCUGUCGUCAGCUCGUGUCGUGAGAUGUUGGGUUAAGUCCCGCAACGAGCGCAACCCUUGUCGUUAAUUGCCAUCAUCCAGUUGGGCACUUUAACGAGACUGCCGGUGACAAACCGGAGGAAGGUGGGGAUGACGUCAAGUCCUCAUGGCCCUUAUGGGUAGGGCUUCACACGUCAUACAAUGGUCGGUACAAAGGGUUGCCAACCCGCGAGGGGGAGCUACUCCCAGAAAGCCGAUCGUAGUCCGGAUCGUAGGCUGCAACUCGCCUGCGUGAAGUCGGAAUCGCUAGUAAUCGUGGAUCAGCAUGUCACGGUGAAUACGUUCCCGGGUCUUGUACACACCGCCCGUCACACCAUGGGAGCGGGUUCCGCCAGAAGUAGGUAGCCUAACCGCAAGGAGGGCGCUUACCACGGCGGGGUUCGUGACUGGGGUGAAGU
rnacentral:rRNA from 1 species